rnacentral:tRNA from 1 species
GCCUUGAUGGUGAAAUGGUAGACACGCGAGACUCAAAAUCUCGUGCUGAAGAGCGUGGAGGUUCGAGCCCUCUUCAAGGCA